UCCGUAGGGGGCGAUCGUUGUCCGGAUUCACUGGGCGUAAAGGGCGCGUAGGCGGCCAGUUAAGGCAGCAGUAAAAUUCACAGGCGCAACCUGUGAAGGACUGUUGAAACUGGAUGGCUUGAGUGCAGGAGAGGGGAGUGGAAUUCCAGGUGUAGCGGUGGAAUGCGUAGAUAUCUGGAGGAACACCCGUGGCGAAGGCGGCUCCCUGGCCUGGUACUGACGCUGAGGCGCGAAAGCUGGGGGAGAGAACGGG
rnacentral:rRNA from 1 species